CUCUGUUGUUAGGGAAGAACAAGUGCUAGUUGAAUAAGCUGGCACCUUGACGGUACCUAACCAGAAAGCCACGGCUAACUACGUGCCAGCAGCCGCGGUAAUACGUAGGUGGCAAGCGUUAUCCGGAAUUAUUGGGCGUAAAGCGCGCGCAGGUGGUUUCUUAAGUCUGAUGUGAAAGCCCACGGCUCAACCGUGGAGGGUCAUUGGAAACUGGGAGACUUGAGUGCAGAAGAGGAAAGUGGAAUUCCAUGUGUAGCGGUGAAAUGCGUAGAGAUAUGGAGGAACACCAGUGGCNAANGCGACUUUCUGGUCUGUAACUGACACUGAGGCGCGA
rnacentral:rRNA from 1 species